AUGUUGUUUGUAACACAGAAUGGAGAAAAUGUUUUGGAAAAUAUGAAGAUAGAAAAUUCAGGAGAGAACAAGCUGAAGGUAGAUCUAAUAACUGGAACCCUGAUCUGGGGCUUGGAGAUGCCCUCUGAGCCGUGCCCAGACUCAUGUGUGCGCUCUGUCAUCUGGUCCUGGUAUUCUGUGGAGUUCUGCUCCCGUGGUUAGUGUUGACUCAGUGGCCACCUGGCUGGGAGAAGCCAUGGGCAGCAGACGCAUCUGGCAAGCAGAACUGGAAGGCACUGUUUUGAGUUGAAAGUGCGGCGAACUCCACUCUCAAGAGGCAGGUAAGAUGCGCUCCA
rnacentral:lncRNA from 1 species